GUGGGGAAUAUUGGACAAUGGGCGAAAGCCUGAUCCAGCAAUGCCGCGUGAGUGAAGAAGGCCUUAGGGUUGUAAAGCUCUUUUACCCGGGAAGAUAAUGACUGUACCGGGAGAAUAAGCUCCGGCUAACUCCGUGCCAGCAGCCGCAGUAAUACGGAGGGAGCUAGCGUUGUUCGGAAUCACUGGGCGUAAAGCGCACGUAGGCGGCUUUGUAAGUUAGAGGUGAAAGCCCGGGGCUCAACUCCGGAACUGCCUUUAAGACUGCAUCGCUUGAAUCUGGGAGAGGUAAGUGGAAUUCCGAGUGUAGAGGUGAAAUUCGUAGAUAUUCGGAAGAACACCAGUGGCGAAGGCGGCUUACUGGACCAGAAUUGACGCUGAGGUGCGAAAGCGUGGGGAGCAAACAGGAUUAGAAACCCCUGUAGUCC
rnacentral:rRNA from 1 species